CACUUUCUUCAGUACACACACAACGGUGACCUUGAGACUUGCAUGGUCCUGCACCAUGAGGAACGGAUUAGACCAUCUCCGACCCUGAGGGUAAUUCACGGUUCUGAUUCCAUGUUGGUUGAUUCUCCAGUGGAUUUUUCUCCACCAAAUCGCUUCUGAGGCCCGUCUACCGAGGUGACGUCACACAAAGCAGGUAACCCGCGUGAAAUUUGACCAGUGCCCUGCCGACGGGCUGAUGCUAUAAUCUGGUGUAAAUCAACCUUGGAGGGGGAUGGGUUAGGGAGAGAACGUUCAAGACGUAAAUGGGGCAUCUGCUGGAAAUGUUCAUCAUGGUACAGAGGAGAAAGUUGAGAAAAACCAUGGGUUUUGAGAGGAAUAUAACGAGUAUCUUUC
rnacentral:lncRNA from 12 species